rnacentral:rRNA from 1 species
UCCUACGGGGGGCAGCAGUCGGGAAUAUUGCACAAUGGAGGAAACUCUGAUGCAGUGACGCCGCGUGCAGGAAGGAGGUUUUCGGAUUGUAAACUGCUUUAGAUGGGGAAGAAGAAAGACUGUACCCAUAGAAUAAGCUCCGGCUAACUACGAGCCAGCAGCCGCGGUAAUACGUAGGGAGCAAGCGUUAUCCGGAUUUAUUGGGUGUAAAGGGUGCGUAGACGGGAAUUUAAGUUAGUUGUGAAAUCCCUCGGCUUAACUGAGGAACUGCAACUAAAACUGAAUUGCUGUAGUGCGGGAGAGAA